rnacentral:rRNA from 1 species
GACGAACGCUGGCGGCGUGCUUAACACAUGCAAGUCGAGCGGUAAGGCCCUUUCGGGGGUACACGAGCGGCGAACGGGUGAGUAACACGUGGGUGACCUGCCCUCAGCUCUGGGAUAAGCCUGGGAAACCGGGUCUAAUACCGGAUAUGACUCCAUGACGCAUGUUGUGGGGUGGAAAGCCUUGUGCGGCUGAGGAUGGGCCCGCGGCCUAUCAGCUU